AGAAAAUGGGUGUCAAAUGGGCAGUUAUUGGGGAUGAAAACUACGGUGAGGGAUCAAGCCGGGAGCACGCAGCAUUGGAGCCACGUCACUUGGGGGGCAGGGUCAUCAUCACCAAGAGCUUUGCCAGGAUCCAUGAAACCAACCUGAAGAAGCAAGGUCUACUGCCUCUCACUUUCGCUGAUCCAGCAGACUACAACAAGAUUCAUCCUGUGGACAAGCUGAGCAUCGUGGGGCUGGCAGACUUUGCACCUGGAAAGCCUCUGAAAUGCAUCAUCAAGCAUCCCAAUGGGAGCCAAGAAAC